rnacentral:rRNA from 1 species
AUUGAACGCUGGCGGCAUGCUUUACACAUGCAAGUCGAACGGCAGCGCGGGGGCAACCCUGGCGGCGAGUGGCGAACGGGUGAGUAAUAUAUCGGAACGUACCCAGAAGUGGGGGAUAACGUAGCGAAAGUUACGCUAAUACCGCAUACGAUCUACGGAUGAAAGUGGGGGACCUUCGGGCCUCAUGCUUUUGGAGCGGCCGAUAUCUGAUUAGCUAGUUGGUGAGGUAAAGGCUCACCAAGGCGACGAUCAGUAGCUGGUCUGAGAGGACGACCAGCCACACUGGAACUGAGACACGGUCCAGACUCCUACGGGAGGCAGCAGUGGGGAAUUUUGGACAAUGGGGGCAACCCUGAUCCAGCAAUGCCGCGUG